GACGAACGCUGGCGGCGUGCUUAACACAUGCAAGUCGAACGAUGAUCCGGUUUCGGCCGGGGAUUAGUGGCGAACGGGUGAGUAACACGUGGGCAAUCUGCCCUGCACUCUGGGACAAGCCCUGGAAACGGGGUCUAAUACCGGAUACGACCUCCAACUGCAUGGUUGGUGGUGGAAAGCGUUUAGUGGUGCAGGAUGAGCCCGCGGCCUAUCAGCUUGUUGGUGGGGUGAUGGCCUACCAAGGCGACGGCGGGUAGCCGGCCUGAGAGGGCGACCGGCCACACUGGGACUGAGACACGGCCCAGACUCCUACGGGAGGCAGCAGUGGGGAAUAUUGCACAAUGGGCGGAAGCCUGAUGCAGCGACGCCGCGUGAGGGAUGACGGCCUUCGGGUUGUAAACCUCUUUCAGCAGGGAAGAAGCGAGAGUGACGGUACCUGCAGAAGAAGCACCGGCUAACUACGUGCCAGCCGCCGCAGUAA
rnacentral:rRNA from 1 species